rnacentral:rRNA from 2 species
UUUCCGUAGGUGAACCCGCGGAAGGAUCAUUGUCGAAACCU